UACGUAGGGUGCGAGCGUUAAUCGGAAUUACUGGGCGUAAAGCGUGCGCAGGCGGUUGUGUAAGACAGGUGUGAAAUCCCCGGGCUUAACCUGGGAAUUGCAUUUGUGACUGCACGGCUAGAGUUUGGCAGAGGGGGGUAGAAUUCCACGUGUAGCAGUGAAAUGCGUAGAGAUGUGGAGGAACACCGAUGGCGAAGGCAGCCCCCUGGGCCGACACUGACGCUCAGGCACGAAAGCGUGGGGAGCAAACAGG
rnacentral:rRNA from 1 species